rnacentral:tRNA from 1 species
GCCUGGGUGGCUCAGUCGGUUGGGCAUCCGACUUCGGCUCAGGUCAUGAUCUCACGGUUCGUGGGUUUGAGCCCCGCAUCAGGCU